GGUGGGUCCCUCCGCAUGGGUCCAUGGUCAACCUGGUCAGGUCCGGAAGGAAGCAGCCACAGCCAUUUCGACUCAGUGCCGGAGUAAGGCUCACCGCC
rnacentral:SRP_RNA from 1 species